ensembl:lncRNA
GCUGAGGCCAGGAGAGAGACUUCAGGAGGAUCAGAGAUCAUCUUCAGCACAGCAGACAUCACACAGAGAGCUGUGCUACUGAGCUUCCAGGAGAUCAAGAGGAGACUUCCCACAGCAAGAUUUUAAAUACAAUGAAAGAUUCAAUGUUGACGCUGAGGAAGACAACUAAGGUGUACGACGUGCUCUGCCUUAAACCUUCAGCAGCGUUGGAAGGAGUCUAAGGAUGACAUCAUGAUUCUGUGAAAAGCACAGGAACCAGAAGCUAUGGUGGUGAUAACAGCAGUUUCCUAUGAGGUCUGCAGCUUUGGAAAUAGCUGAGACCCAUGUUGACAAACAACAAAACUAACUGGAUGCAGUUUGCCAUGAGAUGAGCUCAAUGGGGAAUGGGAUAUCCGCUAAUACCUUUGUUAAACUCUGUACUUUUACAGUGAUUUAGGGUGAUUUGACGUAUGCUGAGUAUAACAAUGUUGGCAUUGAAACUGUCAGACAUGAGGUAUUCAUAACUGGAAACUUUUCUAGCAUAAAGGUCAAUAAAGGGGGGAAUGUUAGGUUUUGUAUUGUUGAUUGUCAUUUAUGCUUAGAAACAUUUACUCAUAUAUGCUUAGAAGUGUAUAAUCAAUUGUAGAUUGAAAGAAUGUCUCAUCCUAGGAGGUCUGUAACAACUCUGUGUAGCAUGAAGAGGGGAGUGCGUUCACUCCUCUACAGAGUGUGUUCUGGCAUAGAUCACACCCCCUAGGAGAGGUUUUAUCUUUUCUUGAUAUAUGGUAUAGCAAACACAUGUAUAUCUGUUUGAGUGUAAGAGCCUUUUGUUUAGAUGGACCUGUUAGACUCCUGGCACCAGCUUUGGGGAGUCUUCACAGGGUCACAUCUUGACCUCACACACACAGUAUUCUUUGUUCACAUGUAUACCUAUGUAAGAUGUUAUAUGUUAAUGACCCAAUGCAUAUUCAUGUCACCACAAUAAAAGGAGUGCUCUGGGGAGUCUGGCUGAGAGUCUGACGGAGGUCAAGUGGUGGGACGACACUUGGCUCCAGCCAGAUCUCCC